rnacentral:rRNA from 1 species
UACGUAGGUCCCGAGCGUUGUCCGGAUUUAUUGGGCGUAAAGCGAGCGCAGGUGGUUUAUUAAGUCUGGUGUAAAAGGCAGUGGCUCAACCAUUGUAUGCAUUGGAAACUGGUAGACUUGAGUGCAGGAGAGGAGAGUGGAAUUCCAUGCGUAGCGGUGAAAUGCGUAGAUAUAUGGAGGAACACCGGUGGCGAAAGCGGCUCUCUGGCCUGCAACUGACACUGAGGCUCGAAAGCGUGGGGAGCAAACAGG